GUGCUUGCUAUGGCAACACAUAUACUAAAAUUGGAACGAUACAGAGAAGAUUGGCAUGGCCCCUGCGCAAAGGGCAUGAUAUUUUAGUCAACUGAAUGAUGAAAGAGGGUC